GGGUUGUGAGGUUAAGCGACUAAGCGUACACGGUGGAUGCCCUGGCAGUCAGAGGCGAUGAAGGACGUGCUAAUCUGCGAAAAGCGUCGGUAAGGUGAUAUGAACCGUUAUAACCGGCGAUGUCCGAAUGGGGAAACCCAGUGCAAUUCGUUGCACUAUCGUUAACUGAAUACAUAGGUUAACGAGGCGAACCGGGGGAACUGAAACAUCUAAGUACCCCGAGGAAAAGAAAUCAACCGAGAUUCCCCCAGUAGCGGCGAGCGAACGGGGAGCAGCCCAGAGUCUGAAUCAGCUUGUGUGUUAGUGGAACGGUCUGGAAAGUCCGACGGUACAGGGUGAUAGUCCCGUACACCAAAAUGCACAGGCUGUGAACUCGAAGAGUAGGGCGGGACACGUGGUAUCCUGUCUGAAUAUGGGGGGACCAUCCUCCAAGGCUAAAUACUCCUGACUGACCGAUAGUGAACCAGUACCGUGAGGGAAAGGCGAAAAGAACCCCGGCGAGGGGAGUGAAAAAGAACCUGAAACCGUGUACGUACAAGCAGUGGGAGCACCUUCGGGUGUGACUGCGUACCUUUUGUAUAAUGGGUCAGCGACUUAUAUUCUGUAGCAAGGUUAACCGUAUAGGGGAGCCGCAGGGAAACCGAGUCUUAACUGGGCGUUAAGUUGCAGGGUAUAGACCCGAAACCCGGUGAUCUAGCCAUGGGCAGGUUGAAGGUUGGGUAACACUAACUGGAGGACCGAACCGACUAAUGUUGAAAAAUUAGCGGAUGACUUGUGGCUGGGGGUGAAAGGCCAAUCAAACCGGGAGAUAGCUGGUUCUCCCCGAAAGCUAUUUAGGUAGCGCCUCGUGAAUUCAUCUUCGGGGGUAGAGCACUGUUUCGGCUAGGGGGUCAUCCCGACUUACCAACCCGAUGCAAACUACGAAUACCGAAGAAUGUUAUCACGGGAGACACACGGCGGGUGCUAACGUCCGUCGUGAAGAGGGAAACAACCCAGACCGCCAGCUAAGGUCCCAAAGUCAUGGUUAAGUGGGAAACGAUGUGGGAAGGCACAGACAGCCAGGAUGUUGGCUUAGAAGCAGCCAUCAUUUAAAGAAAGCGUAAUAGCUCACUGGUCGAGUCGGCCUGCGCGGAAGAUGUAACGGGGCUAAACCAUGCACCGAAGCUGCGGCAGCGACACUAUGUGUUGUUGGGUAGGGGAGCGUUCUGUAAGCCUGCGAAGGUGUGCUGUGAGGCAUGCUGGAGGUAU
rnacentral:rRNA from 1 species